rnacentral:rRNA from 1 species
CUGACGAGUGGCGGACGGGUGAGUAAUGUCUGGGAAACUGCCUGAUGGAGGGGGAUAACUACUGGAAACGGUAGCUAAUACCGCAUAACGUCGCAAGACCAAAGAGGGGGACCUUCGGGCCUCUUGCCAUCGGAUGUGCCCAGAUGGGAUUAGCUAGUAGGUGGGGUAACGGCCCACCAAGGCGACGAUCAGUAGCCGGUCUGAGAGGAUGAACGGCCACACUGGAACUGAGACACGGUCCAGACUCCUACGGGAGGCAGCAUG